rnacentral:misc_RNA from 1 species
GGUAAGACGAUCGGCACAUGUCCUCGGACAUGGCCCGAUAUGAACCUUCCCGUGCUUUUUAGAACAUAGAUGGCACCAGUCAGGUGACUAUCGAAACGUAAUACGCCGCGAUGACUUCGGUCACGACGGUAUGGCGAGCUUUCGCCGUCCACGUUUCUCUUUCUUCAAAAGGAUAUCGAACCAUUGGUUUGCGCUCGCGCGCUGUUCGCACCUUCGGUGCUGCGCUCCGCGGGGGCGCCGGACGACCGGCGACGGCCUCUGGCCUGUAUGGGCGACCCUUUCCGAGGUUUUGCUUGGGAUUGGCGUCGACGCAGAGAGAUGGGCCCGUAGCUCAGUUGGUUAGAGCACACGCUUGAUAAGCGUGGGGUCGGAAGUUCAAGUCUUCCCGGGCCCACCAUUUGCACGAGCAAAUGAGGUUUGCUGGUGCGAAUUGUGGUUUGUUUGGGUUUACCUGAUCCUGGCGGUUUGCUGUCAGGUGUUUGCGAUGGUUGGGGCUGUAGCUCAGCUGGGAGAGCACCUGCUUUGCAAGCAGGGGGUCAGCGGUUCGAUCCCGCUCAGCUCCACCAAUUCGCUUGGUGUCGAGACUGAGAGAUAUCCUUUGAAGAAAUAAAAGUUUUGCAUCGGCUUAUGGCUGAUGCGUGUUCUGCAUACAUUGUGAAGAGAAGAUUGAUCUGGAGGCUUCCAGGUGUUUUGGGUUUUGCCCAAGGCGUCCGAGCCCGAUCCUUAUGAUAUCGUCGAUGGCCUAGCCGGCCGGACGCGAUGGAGGGAUCGGAGGUAGGAAGGAAGCUUGUCGCUCUGGGUCGUUGUUGUUUGCUGUCUUUAGGGACGGCAUCUGACGGACGACUUGAUUACCGUUGCCUGACCGCGCGGUAUCGGAUCCAAUCUCGAGAAGCUGGUCUUAAGACAGGCUGCAAGCGAGCUGCUCGGCGUAGCUCCAAUAAAGCAGACCUGUCGAACACGUUAAUGGCAUCAUGAAACGAUCCGGUUGUAAAAGGUAACCGGAUUUUUGGACUGGCCGCACGGCAAUCGCAAGGUUGUCCGGAUGGUCAGAUUUGGCACCCACGAGGCGUAUGCCGAGUGAUAAGGUCUGCCAAAUCCAAAUAUGGAUGAGCAUUGGCAAUGAGAACGAUUAAGUGUCGUAAGGGCAUUUGGUGGAUGCCUUGGCAUGCACAGGCGAUGAAGGACGUGAUACGCUGCGAAAAGCCGUGGGAGCUGCGAA